GAUGAACGCUGGCGGCGUGCCUAACACAUGCAAGUCGAACGGAGAUUCCGGACGGAAGUUUUCGGAUGGAAGCCUGUAAUUCUUAGUGGCGGACGGGUGAGUAACGCGUGGGCAACCUGCCCUAUACAGGGGGAUAGCAGCUGGAAACGGCUGGUAAGACCGCAUAAGUCGGUUAAAUCGCAUGAUUUGAUCGGGAAAUGAGCAAUCAGGUAUAGGAUGGGCCCGCGUCCGAUUAGCCAGUUGGCAGGGUAAAAGCCUACCAAAGCGACGAGCGGUAGCCGGACUGAGAGGUCGGACGGCCACAUUGGGACUGAGACACGGCCCAAACUCCUACGGAGGCAGCAGUGGGGGAUAUUGCACAAUGGAGGAAGCUCUGAUGCAGCGACGCCGCGUGAGUGAAGAAGUAUUUCGGUAUGUAAAGCUCUAUCAGCAGGGAAGAUGAUGACGGUACCUGACUAAGAAGCCCCGGCUAACUACGUG
rnacentral:rRNA from 1 species